CAGGUUCUUUAAUUUCCAUGUAAUGGUGUGGUUUUGAGUGAGUUUCUUAAUCGUGAGUUCUAAUUUGGUUGCAAUGUGAUCUGUGAGACUGUUGUGAUUUCAGUUAUUUUGUAUUUGCUGAAGAGUGUUGGCAUGGGGAGGAGGCUGAGGCCGCAGCUUGAGGGAGGCCCUGGCCCCUCUGCACCUGUGUCUGGCAGAGCUGGUGUGAGACGAGACAAUCCUGCACCACCACUGGGAUAGUUAAGAGUUUUGGCCGGACCUUUGAGCAUACACUGAGAGAGUGAGGAGCCAGAUGACAAGCACACACUAUGGCGCUGAAACGGAUUAAUAAGGAACUUAGUGAUUUGGCCUGUGACCCUCCAGCACAAGGUUCUGCAGGUCCAGUUGGGGAUGAUAUGUUUCAUUGCAAGCCACAAAUAUGGGACCUAAUGACAGCCCAUAUCAAGGCAGUGUAUUCUUUUUGACAAUUCAUUUUCCUAAAGACUACCCCUUCAAACCACCUAAGGUUGCAUUUACAACAAGAAUUUAUCAUCCAAAUAUUAACAGUAAUGGCAGCAUUUGUCUUGAUAUUCUAAGAUCACAGUGGUCGCCUGCUUUAACAAUUUCUAAAGUUCUUUUAUCCAUUUGUUCACUGCUAUGUGAUCCAAACCCAGAUGACCCCCUAGUGCCAGAGAUUGCAUGGAUCUAUAAAACAGACAGAGAUAAGUACAACAGAAUAUCUCAGGAAUGGACUCAGAAGUAUGCCAUGUGAUGCUACCUUAAAGUCAGAAUAGCCUGCAUUAUAGCUGGAAUAAACUUUAAAUUACUGUUCCUUUUCUGAUUUUCUUAUCCGGCUGCUCCCCUAUCAGACCUCAUCUUUUUCAAUUUUAUUUUUUGUUUACCUC